CCAUUGCUAGGGAAUUCAUGGCGACCACGUCGGAGCGAUUUGGCUGACUUCCGGUUGAACUCAUUGUCCAUGUAAGCUAUUAAAUGCAGGUCAACAUGGAAGCAGCUGGCCACUUUUACACGGUGUGUACUUUUGAAAAGGCAUCGAGACAUGUAGACUGGCCGCCCGUAGAAUUUCUUUGUGUUUGAUUUUAUUUUCUUACUCAAGGAAUUCAGCGUCAUUACAAGUGUGUUGCCACAGUCUAGAUCUAACUACUAGAAAAUCUAGAUUCUACUUGAAAUUCAAGACAUCAUUUCAAUCAAGCAGGACCAACAAGGUGUAAAGAGGAUUGCUAAUGAAUGAAAUCAGCAACUUGAUGGCUGACAUAAAGCGGCUGAGGAGAACAGAGGCUUGUGACCGGGAAUAGGUUGGUGGAACUUGUGUACAGCCCUUUCUAUGUUCAAUGUCUCAGGUGGAAGUACAUUCUGUAUAGUUUUCAUGGAGAUCCAGCUUUAUUCAAGGCUCGUCUUAAAGAGAAUGAUGUGGCUGCUGGGACAUAACUAAAAUCUACAUUCAACUGCUUGCAGAUCUCAAGAAGCCUGGGGUUCUCAUGCAGCGCCGCAAGCACUCAGGCUGAUUGGGAAAUUAAUUUCUGGUCCUUUGAUAAAGCUCAUUUACAAUAACGCAAUGUGGCGAUCAAAUGUACUCUGUUUCUUAAAGUCAUGGAAGCGUUGUUGACUUCUACUGAGCCUUUCUUGGUGCGACAGCUAGAGAGGUAUCUGAUUGGUGUCUAGCUGACUCAUAAGUGGGAGCAAGGUGAUCAGGGUGUGUCGUAAUACACUGGAAGGACUAUUAAAAGGGUGCCAGCAACAAAACAAAAGACAGCUCUUUACACCAUAAGCUACUGGGCAGAGGGUGAGGAUAAUGCUGAGGAUUUCAGUCAUCUGACAGAAUCACUGGUUGUUGACUUUGUAGGAAUCUUGUUUUACGUUCUGAAUAAUAGCUAAUCAGAGUACUUCUUUCAUUUUUAGUAUACAAAUGAACUUUAUUUUUUAAACAUUAGUGUUUUUGUAAAUUGUUACUGAAAUAAAUGAUUGCUGUGAAUUGUAAACUUAUUUUGAAAACUAAUACUAACAAUGUUUAUAAUUAAGUUUAGUGUUCAUAGUGUAAAAAAAAUUACAUUUUAAUUAAUUACUUAACUUAUUUUUCAGGGUAAUUGAAAUCAGCUAGAUAAUCCUAGAAUCAGUAGUUAAUGUGCUUCAUAAAUGUUGGUCCAACUGAUUUAUCACACGAGUACUAACGCUUUUUAAAUUGUAUUUCUUUUCCUUAGAUGUGCUAAUUGUAUCUGAAUAUGUAUUAUAAUUAGAUAAUUGUUUUAAAACUAAAGAGACUAAAGUGGUCCAAGUAAUUUUUCGUCACCUAUUUUUUUCCAGCAUACAUUCAAUGAAUGGGUUAGAUUUACUAGUAAUUAUACUUUAAACCAAUAUUUUAAUGUUUAUUCCUUGAUAUUUAAUACUACUUUUCUUCUUAAGAGGGAUCGUAAUGAGACGAGGUUGAUUUCUUGUACUGUAGAUUUGUUUCUUCACACUAAUUAUGAUUAUUUAACUGUUUUACAGUACUGUGUUGAUCGUAGAUUAUACAAGGGCUAAAUUUCUGUUGUCACUAUGUAAUUUAUUUCUUUGCUCUGAUAAACAUAUUUUUAAAUUAUUGCAAGAAAUCUUUUUUUUUCUUUGCCAUUCUCCUAAAUGUUUCUAUUUUAUUAGACAAAAUUAAAAUUCAUGUGGUAAUCUGAUUACUGUAUUUUAAUCAUUUAUAUUUCUUUUAGCAAACAUUGAAAUGUCAGUAUGUUGUGUUACUCACAUUCUAACAAUUAACAUUGCAUUUAGUAGUAAUAAACACUGGUACACACUUUGA